CGGCUGGCAGGUUCAGAAUUGAACCUGGAGUGACAGAUGGCUCCUGCCUCUUGGUUUGGAAAGAUCACGUGUGUGUGCCCUUCUAUCUCUGGCCCCAUCUUUAUCACCGAGGUGCCCAGACAGUUGUGCACCGAGCCACCUGGAACGCUCACCCAGGCUUGGGGAUGAUGCUGAGCUGGGUAGAAAGUGCAUGUCCGUGGGCAGCAGGUUAGACCAGAGUUGGGUUUCAGCUUGGUCCCAGCACCAACCAUUUCCUGUUUGAUGCCCUAGGGACCUGUGGGAUUUGGUUUCCCACCCUCAGCUCUCCGUGGAGGGUGUCUCCACUCUGGCUGUGUUGCUCAUAAUCCUGUCUGGUGUGUUAGAGAAGAACUUGAAGGGGGGAACCUGGAUUCAGAUUACAGCUCCUCUCUUUGCUGGCAAUGUGACCUUGGGUGCUUAUUUAACUUCUUUGACCAGGCUCUCCCCUCUUUGGGAUUGCACGCCCCCCACCCCCUGCAAAACAAACGAACAAAACCCAAACAAACUUCCCUGAACUGUUGUAAGGAUUAAAGACUGCUGUGAAUGAAAGUGUCUGUAAAAGUUUGAAUGACCUGGGAGGGUUUUUAGGUCUUCUUCCAACAUGACUAGAUUUGUGACUUGGUAAGGUUUUUGAGCCCUAAUGGGUAUGAUAGCAAACAUAAUAGAAGUUAUUUUCCUUCUUAUAGGUUUAUUGGGAGGGUUGAAUCAGAUUUUGUAAAAGGACUUUGAAAAUGAAACAGCACUGCUCACACUGAGAGGAGUUCCUAAACUUUGUUUCCUGACUAGCAGCAUUUUACUGUUUGCCAUGUGAUGUGGACUUUCUUCUGAGCUCCUGCCCCUGACCUUGCACAUAUUUAGUAAACUUGAGGAUAAUGUUACAACAGCCAGCCUCUUCAAAUAUAUGAUCACAUGACCUUUGGUUUUGACAAUGAACCCUGAUCUGUUUAAUUCACCUGUAUUUGGUGUAUCCAAAUGGAGGCUACCUGCACUGUUGAGAAGUUCAAAGUUUUAGUGAAGAGAGAGAAAAUAAUCGCAUAUGUAUCAGUCUGGGUGCCUCUGAACUACAUACAAUACCAAAUGAUGUGCAGCUGGUUAAAGAAAGGAUUUGACAUGUGUUUUAUGAAGGACUGCGUGGCUUCAUUAUUCAUGGAGAAGCAGUUUUAAUUAUGUAUUUGUUAAUAGUGCACCUGAAAUAGAAGAGGGUGGAACACAGUGGAAGGUGAGCUCUUAAAAUCUCUGUUUGGGCUUCUGGUCCAGUGUUCUAGGAAGGACUGCUCCCAGCCUCGCCUGGGUGAUGGUGAGAAGCACUGUAAAUCUCUUUGAAGACUAACAGGGGCAGUGACCUCUCAGGCAGCCACUCACAUCCUUGGGAACGUCUUUUGGCUCCCGGAUCUCAAUAGGAAAAGGAUUCUACUGAUCCUUCUAAAGCCGGACUUUGCCAAGUGGCUCAGUGAUAGAGAAUCUGACUGCUGACAGAGGAGACACGGGUUCGAUCUCUGGGUCAGGAAGGUCCCCUGAGAAGGAAAUGGCA